CAGCAAUAUCUCCAUAGUGUUCCACACCCAUAGGCCUGCAAGAAAUAUUUCCCUUUGCCUGUGGAAGAAAUAUUCAAGUGAAUGUGCUUUUUUUCAGGGAUGGUGACACCAGAAUGUUUUAAAUCUGUUCAUUACCACAACAUGGAUAAUGGCAUUUCUGCCAAAGACUUUUGCAAAUGGGUGCAGUAAUGCAUGUCAGCACUUUCUGAAAUUAGAGGUUUCACCCUGAGAGGGCUGGAACUUACACUUUGAUUCUACUAAGUUACCCAAGAGGUUCAAGGUUUUUUGACUCAAGAAAAAAGCGAUUAAAUUUUUAAUGGCCUUAUGGAAACCAGAGGCAUAUUUGCAAUCGCAGAAGCCCUUCAUCAAACCAGGAGAAAUAGCCACCUGGGAAAUGUAUUGCUUAUGAGCACUUUUUCUUUACGGAGAAGAAAACACUCGCAACACUGUCAGCUGCUAUCAUGUCCCUUUGAACAUCAGCCACGGUGGGUUGUGACAGCUAACUAUAGGCCAAGGUCAUUUGGGGAUCCACCCAGCCCACUCACAGGGAUGGCACCAAACUAGCCACCACUUGUGGGUCUGCAGAUCCAGCCAGUCCAGCCCAGAUUGGUAUUUUUGGGUGGAGUUCCUGAAACAAGGCCCCUGAUGGUCCUUCAUGCUGCUGGCAUUCAGGUUUACACUUAAACUAUUCUGAACCAUUAUUUGCUUUCUGCACUGAUGACUUCUCUCCUAUCUACCUCUUUUGAGACUCCACUGCAGGGUCACAGAUUUGUCCAAUUGUGAUAUAAAAAUGAAUCUUUUGUUUAACCACAGAGUUCACCCACUUGUUCAGAUAUGUUCCAUCAAAUUACUUCAAAUACGUGAGCAGGCAACCCCAGGCUUACUUAGGCUUCUUCUUUUCUUCGUUUACCCUAUAACCUCUCGCCACUGCCAGACCCUGUCACUCAGAUCGGCAUGGAGCUGUUGCUGUCCUCUCCUCUUCCAUGUACACUGUCAUUGCUGUUCAUCCAUUCUGCCCAGGCUGCUGUAAUUAACUUCUUAACCGACCUCCUGCCCUCCAAGUCACUGACAUUCAAAUAGGAGCUAUCAUACAGGAUUAUAAAUCAGAGUGUUUCUCUCUAAAAUGCUAUAGCUGGGCAUGGUGGCACAUGCCUUAGAACCUCAGCAUUGGGAGGCUGAAGCAGGAGGAUUGGUGUGAGUUCAGUUAGCCUGAACUACAGAGCAAGACCCUGUCUCAAUAAAC
ensembl:lncRNA